GGAAGCUAGUCUUGGCCGGUGCCCGGCGCGGGCUUCAAACCCGUCGUGCGGCACUUUCGUGUCGCAGGUGGGUUCGACUCCCACUAGCUUCCGCCA
rnacentral:tRNA from 1 species